GGCGCGGCGGCACGCCGCGCCCGGUGGCGUAACAUAAGAAGUGCUGGGUCUGAAGUAAAGACAGAACAGAAGUACUUGGUUUGUGCUAUUGUACAUGCAAACAUAGCACUGAAGUAAUAUGGGAUCAGGUACUUCUACAGCUAGGUACCAGAUACUUCAAAGCACAUAUUGUCUAGAGCAGCUGUUAGUUACAUAAUAUUUCACAACUGAUCCCGGUAGUCUAGGGAAUCUGUACUUCACCGAUCUUCCUCUUCUGCUGGUGGUUUUCAGUCUGAAUUGACCUGUUCUUGGACCUGAGGUAAAAUUGGUAUUUUCUUACAACUGCAUUGGUUCUGGGUAACUUGUGUUUGAGUUUUAUGCUUACUGGCAAGUGGUGAGCGCCUUUUUGAACUAUUUCUUGGCUGAUGCUGAGCUGACAUCUUCAGUAGGAAAAACUGCUGUUCUUUGAUCUAGAUUAUGGCAUAAUACUGUGUCCCUUUUAAGCUUUGGCUGCCCUGGAAUUGAGAGCAUGGAUAAAGUCCAGUUUGUACUAACAUUGUCUACACUGGAUUCAGCCUUUUCUGAGAUGGAUUUGCUUGGCGUGGUGGCUGAAGCUAUGCUAUCUUCUUAUGCAUUUGCCACUUCGUCAGAUGGAGAAGGCACCGAAGCUUUUUCUGUAGACGGUGGAGUUUUUGUUGCUUCCCGAUGGCAACGCUGGGCUAGCAGCAGUAUUACCUGCGAACAAAGACAUCUUUAUUUCUAUGGUUUAUAUGAGUAGCGGCAGUUGCUUACCUGUGCCUCCCUUCUUUGCAGGGGCAGUUUCCCGGUGCAUCUAUAAGCAUUUCCAUUAGCGGAGCAAACAUGCAGAGUUAAGUGGAGUUGCCUCGUGCUCGUGUUUGGAAGACGCUCAAGGGUUGUGCUUGUGUAGCCAUGAAGCUUUCUAAAGUAUAGACCGAGCCCUCUUUUAUAUCAUUCUUGAACUGGUCUACGCGGAUGACUGGUAUAUUUCCCUCCAUCAUGGUUAACUAUAGUAGGAACAGAAUUCAAAUAUUAAGUGCGGAAGAUAGAAGAAAGAACAAUCACGCCCUGUGAAACAUUCAACAUGUGGUAGGUGCAGACACGAUUUGAGGGUUUUGUACAUAGUAUAUUUAAGGGGUACAUUAUAUUUUUAAUAUGUAGAAAUGAUUUUUGA